rnacentral:rRNA from 1 species
UACGAAGGGUGCAAACGUUGCUCGGAAUUAUUGGGCGUAAAGCGCACGUAGGCGGCUUUGCAAGUCCCAUGUGAAAUCCCACGGCUUAACCGUGGAAGUGCAUGGGAAACUGCAGAGCUUGAGUACUUAAGAGGAUCGCGGAAUUCCCGGUGUAGAGGUGAAAUUCGUAGAUAUCGGGAGGAACACCAGUGGCGAAGGCGGCGAUCUGGGAAGAUACUGACGCUGAGUGAGCGAAAGCCAGGGGAGCAAACGGG